CCUACGGGGGGCAGCAGUGAGGAAUAUUGGUCAAUGGCCGGAAGGCUGAACCAGCCAUGCCGCGUGAAGGGCAGGGCCCUAGGGGCGUUAAACUUCUUUUGUGCGGGAGCAAGAAUGGUCACGUGUGGCCAGACGAGAGUACCGUACGAAUAAGCAGCGGCUAACUCCGGGCCAGCAGCCGCGGUAAUACGGGGGAUGCAAGCGUUAUCCGGAUUUAUGGGGUUUAAAGGGUGCGUAGGCUGUGAGGUAAGUCAGCGGUGAAAUGCCCCCGCUCAACGGGGUGAAGUGCCAUUGAUACUGCCUUGCUGGAUUGCGGAUGCCGUGGGAGGAAUGUGUGUUGUAGCGGU
rnacentral:rRNA from 1 species